CCUACGGGGGGCAGCAGUGGGGAAUCUUGCGCAAUGGGCGAAAGCCUGACGCAGCGACGCCGCGUGGGGGAAGAAGGCCUUCGGGUUGUAAACCUCUUUCAGUAGGGACGAAGCCACUCGGGUUAACAGCCCAGAGGGUGACGGUACCUACAGAAGAAGCCCCGGCUAACUACGUGCCAGCAGCCGCGGUAAUACGUAGGGGGCAAGCGUUGUCCGGAUUUAUUGGGCGUAAAGAGCGUGUAGGCGGCCAGGUAGGUCCGUUGUGAAAACUGGAGGCUCAACCUCCAGACGUCGAUGGAAACCAUCUGGCUAGAGUCCGGAAGAGGAGAAUGGAAUUCCUGGUGUAGCGGUGAAAUGCGCAGAUAUCAGGAAGAACACCCGUGGCGAAGGCGGUUCUCUGGGACGGUACUGACGCUGAGACGCGAAAGCGUGGGGAGCGA
rnacentral:rRNA from 1 species